CGGGAAGUAGCUCAGUUUGGUAGAGCACCUGGUUUGGGACCAGGGGGUCGGAGGUUCGAAUCCUGUCUUCCCGA
rnacentral:tRNA from 2 species